UGUAAAACCUGUCUGUUCUCAGAGUAGAGCAGAAGGAGAAGGCAGUUGUGAGGAAACUGCUAGCAUGUAAUGUAGCAUCUGUCUUGUCUUGUUUUUGCAAUAUGAAGAAUGGAAGAAGACGACGUUUCUAUCAGAGAGCAGAACUUCCACAGCCAAGUUCGAGAAUACAUUAUCUGCUCCCUCCUGU